rnacentral:lncRNA from 1 species
UAUUAUUCUGUAGGCACUUAUUCACUGCCUAUGAUGUGUGGCACUUCAUCAGUCCCAGUGGCGAAGGAAGAAGUUGCCGUUCCUGCCUGCCACAAACUGUCCAUUUAUUUGGAAGGAGAUGAUAAAUAGUACAACAAUUAGGAACGAUAAGCAAAAAUGAAAAGACAACAUUAUUUGUGUUAAGGUCUACCAGAUCCUUGUAACUUACUCAAGGCUGAGAAAAAUACAACAGUGUGCUGCUUGUAAAUUACCAAAGACAAUCAAACCAGCUGGCCCUACAGAGGUUUUUGUUGAGGAGGAAUACAACAGGCAGGAUUGAAGCAACUGCAUACAGCUGACCCAGCUGCAGAGGCUUUGACAGAAGUGCCAGAAGCAAGCUGUCAUUGGAGUGGACAGAGUGGAAGAGGAGGAAAUAUGGCAGAUUCAAGUGUCAUGAGCCUCAGUAUGGAAGAAGGAUGGUAUAGGGUAAGGAAGAUACAUUUGAACUGGAAAUACUAUUUACUCAUCAGGGGAAAGGCAAUGCGAGGACACAGUGAGAAAGCAGCAUGCAAGCUAAGGAGAGAGUCUCACCAGAAGCCAACCCUGGUUGCACCUUGAUCUUAAACUUCCAGUCUCCAGAACUGAAACUAUAUGUGAAGAGUGUAUUUCCUAUACUUCCUUAAGUACUUGCAUGCCUGAGCAUUUCAUUCACUUACUUUCAGGUGAGACUCUUAGCUUAGAUGGGUUAAUUUUUA